UAGUUCAAAGGUUAGAACAGUGGGCUGUUAACCCUCAGAUGUAGGUUCGAGUCCUACCUUCUCAG
rnacentral:tRNA from 1 species